GACGAACGCUGGCGGCGUGCCUAAUACAUGCAAGUGGGACGCAAGGGGAACCCACUGUGCUUGCACACCCGUGUUUUUCUUGAGUCGCGAACGGGUGAGUAACGCGUAGGUAACCUGCCUAUUAGCGGGGGAUAACUAUUGGAAACGAUAGCUAAUACCGCAUAAUAUUAAUUAUUGCAUGAUAAUUGAUUGAAAGAUGCAAGCGCAUCACUAGUAGAUGGACCCUCGUUGCAUUAGCUAGUUGGUAAGGUAAGAGCUUACCAAGGCGACGAUACAUAGCCGACCUGAGAGGGUGAUCGGCCACACUGGGACUGAGACACGGCCCAGACUCCUACGGGAGGCAGCAGUAGGGAAUCUUCGGCAAUGGACGAAAGUCUGACCGAGCAACGCCGCGUGAGUGAAGAAGGUUUUCGGAUCGUAAAGCUCUGUUGUAAGUCAAGAACGUGUGUGAGAGUGGAAAG
rnacentral:rRNA from 1 species